rnacentral:lncRNA from 1 species
AACACAUGCAACCAAGCUGAAGCACCUGAAACGCUCUUUGGAGAGACUAUUUCAGUAUGCAGCCCUGGUGGUCUCCGAGAAAUAUCAGAGAGGCUACACACGUGAAAAGACCCACAACAUGGCUGCCUAAAUGUGACUAAAUAAGGAUGAUAUGAACGAUCGAUGCGCUGACAUGGAAGGGAAAGUUCAGGAGGCCUCGACUCUAGAUGAAGAACUGAAAAUAACAUGCACACACACAUACCAACAGUGAAAGAAAAAGCAGCCAAGAAUUUGAGAGAGCCAAGGGGGUGUCUUACCCGCGUUCGGCACCAACUCUUACGCGCGUUCACGACCGGCCAGGAAGAACGCAGCAAACCGGAAUCUUCUGCAGCAAAGCUUUAUUGCUUACAUCUUCAGGAGCCAGAGAGCAAGAGAGCAAGAGUGCAAGAGAGAGAAAAAGAACAAGAACAAGAAAGCAAGAGAGCAAGAAUGAGAAAACAAGAGAAAGAAUGGCAAAAC